rnacentral:rRNA from 1 species
UCAGGACGAACGCUGGCGGCGUGCUUAACACAUGCAAGUCGAGCGGUAAGGCCCUUCGGGGUACACGAGCGGCGAACGGGUGAGUAACACGUGAGCAACCUGCCCCUGACUCCGGGAUAAGCGGUGGAAACGCCGUCUAAUACCGGAUAUGACACACCGCCUCAUGGUGGUGUGUGGAAAGUUUUUCGGUCAGGGAUGGGCUCGCGGCCUAUCAGCUUGUUGGUGGGGUAACGGCCUACCAAGGCGAUUACGGGUAGCCGGCCUGAGAGGGCGACCGGCCACACUGGGACUGAGACACGGCCCAGACUCCUGCGGGAGGCAGCAGUGGGGAAUAUUGCGCAAUGGGCGAAAGCCUGACGCA